GUGAGUGCGACGAAGCUGGAGAGUCGUAGCUGUCUGUAAAACCGCUGCCCCGGGCUGAGCAGGUUCGAAUUCUGUCACUCACA
rnacentral:tRNA from 1 species